rnacentral:rRNA from 1 species
GACGAACGCUGGCGGCGUGCCUAAUACAUGCAAGUAGAACGCAGUUGCGAACGGGUGAGUAACGCGUAGGUAACUGCCUGGUAGCGGGGGAUAACUAUUGGAAACGAUAGCUAAUACCGCAUACUACCAGAUGGACCUGCGUUGUGUUAGCUAGUUGGCGGGGUAACGGCUCACCAAGACAACGAUACAUAGACUACCUGAGAGGGGGAUCAGCAACGCGAAGGCUGGAAAAAGGCACAGAACCCAACGGGAGGCAGCGGUAGGGAGUAUUCGGAAAUAGGCGAAAGUCUGACCGGGCAACGCCGCGAGAGUGAAGAAGGUUUUCGGGUCGUAAAACUGUGUUAUAAGAGAAGCGGUAGCUUACCAGAAAGGGACGGCUAACUACGUGCCAACAGCAGGGAUAAUUC